ensembl:lncRNA
CUCAUUAAUAUCUGGGUUACUUUGCUCGUCUCUAUUUAAUAAAUAAUGAAAAAACAUGAGACCUACCACUAGAAAAGCUCUCAGUGGUUGCAUGUAAUUGACAGGAAGCUUACUGAUCCUAAACACACACAUUUAAUUAUUCUCUGUCAUCCUGUCUUGCCAAGUAAAAGAUCAGGAGAAGUGGAGGUCUUCUGUGUGAUCACAGAAGGCUCAGAAGAGAGAACGCAGCAGUCAGCUGGUGGCUCAGCGCUGUGACACCUAAAGGUUUGCUCAAGCACUGCGUGCCGCUGGCCUUGGGCCCGUUUAUGCCCCUCCUCACUAAGGCGGCUGAAGGCACGUGUGGAAGCCACCAGGUAGCAGCACUCCAUCCGCGCCCAACUGUGCGAAGCUUGCAGGUGCAAUGCGAGCACCGCACGGCCAUUGGCUACUGAGCUGCGCUGCGCGCGGUGAUUAGCAAGCUGAAGCGAGCAGUGGGACGGGCUGCCCUUCCCUUCGAGGCUGACCCUUCAGUCGAAGGAGGAAGCAGAAUUUCUGGCUGGCAGCGGCCCCGGGCUUCAGGUAGAGGAAGACAGUGAGAACUAUUGCUCCUUCAUUAAGAGAAUGUCUGGAUAAUGAUCUGUUCAAGGAGAGAACAGAACAAGUUUUGGAGGAAUGCUGAAGCCCUCUGGACUAUUCCAAAGACUUCACAGAAAAGACUAGUCGCAACAACCAAUACUUUCCAAUCUUGUAAGGGAAACUGGCUGCAGUUUGUUGGAACUGGGAAGUAAGCUGUCUGUAGAAGAAGUGAUGUGGAGUUUCUCAGCUGUUAAUGAUGGUGAAAAUACCCAAAGGAAAAAAAAAAAAAAAAAAAAAAGGUAGGAUUUCUCUUUUUGUUGUAUAAUUGCCAAUCAAGGAUAAAAUUUCCCCUUUUCUUUUUGAUAGAAAUAAAUAAUA